GCUGGGGACAUAGCUCAGUUGGUAGAGCGCGUGCCUGACAUGCACGGGCCCUGGGUUCAAUCCCCAACACCCGCCCCCCAACA